GGGGCCAUAGCUCAACGGGAGAGCAGCUGCUUUGCACAUAGAAGGUUGGCGGUUCAAAUCCGCCUGGCUCCA
rnacentral:tRNA from 1 species